UCAAUAAAAUAAUAUCGAUAGAACGUAGUACUGUUCAAAUAAAUUGAAAUCAAUUGAAUUAUAUCCAGUGAAAAUUAGGCCCCGCAAUGGAGAAAAAUUUGGUAUACAAAACCAAGUGCCAACGCUGGUUAGGAUCAAUUUGAAAAAAGCGUUUCCGUGGUGCCAGUUCAAUCAUAUCCUCCACCUGUCAAUGCAGAAAAACACGUUACAACCAAAUCUUAUUACGAUUCAGCCCAAAACAGGUGUUGAUCCAAAUCGUUGGAUGAAUGUACCAAUUUCGAUCCCAAAUUGUCCGCCCGGUUUGGAAUACCUAGCAUCAAUUAAUGAAUUGUUGGUUAAACAAAAAGUCGAACUGUUCGAGACAUUCACUGGAUUCAAAAUGAACAAUAGAUUGGUUAUCAAAAAUUCGCUGGAUCAAAAUUUAAGCGAACUUUAUUCAGAUUACGAUUUGUUUGAUUUAUUUUUGCUUUUGAACAGUGUUAAUAUGAUGAUUGGUGAUAAUUUUUUGUUUAUUUUUUCUUUGAUGAACUAGGUUUACUUCGCUGCCGAAGACAAUGAUCGUUGUACUCGCAAUUACUGCGGUCCAAUACGUCCAUUUGACAUGAAAAUUUUCGAUGGCAACAAAAAGGAAGUUAUGCGUUUUUAUCGACCGUUGUCUUGUACGGGCUGUUGUUCGCCGUGUCGUUUGCAGUCAUUGGUCGUAAUCAGCACCCGUUGGUAAUGCUAUCGGGAGCAUCGAAGAAGAAUGGACGUUGUGCUAUCCACAUUUCUCAAUCAAAAAUGAUGUCGGUGAUAUCGUUCUACGCAUUGAAGGACCGAUCUGGAAACUAUCAUGUGGUGGCAAUGUUGAAUUCAAGAUUCUUCCAUUGGAUGGCACUCAAGUCGGAAAGAUAUCGAAGCAAUGGAGUGGUUUGGCAAAGGAAAUGUUCACCAAUGCUGAUAAUUUUGGCAUUUCAUUUCCAUUGGAUUUGAACGUUCGAAUGAAAGCCGUUUUACUGGGUGCCUGCAUUUUGAUUGAUAUGUUGUAUUAUGAAACCUGCAACUAUUAAGUUGACGACUCGUGGCCGACGACGACAAAUCACUGCUUCAAAAGUUUGACUUACUUGCUAAGGAUUAAAUGAAUUAUACUUUUCAAUAUCAUAGCACUUAUUGUGUGAACAUGAAUGAAAUAUUCAUUCAUUAUUCUACUCGAAUAAACAAACGUCA